GCAGCACGUAAGCAGCUACCGGUCGCCAAGGUCGCCACCGCUGCCGGUUCGUGGAGCCAUUCCAGGUCGUGAAGCCCUCUCCUACACAACGCAGAUUUGAGGAGCUGCUCCAGAUCUGGAACUCAGCCAUUGGAUUGAAUUAGGAUGGGGCAAGAAGCGUAGAAAUCCAAGUGGUGUUGCCACUCUGCUUUUAAAGGAGUGCUUCCCUGGGCUUGUCAACUACAAUGGAAGGAUAGAACCUCCGUGGACAUGGGAGCAUUAUGCUGCUGCUCCAGAUGCUCCUGAUGAGCAUGGAGUUGAAUACAACAAUUGUUUAGAGCGGGUGGAGGAAAGAUUCUGGCAAUAUUAUCGAUGGGCAACUGAUAUCGAAGAUACUGAAGCUGAAAAAGCACGGAAGGAGCGGGAGGCUAGGAGAGUUUUGCAUAAAGUUAUCAAGAACAAGAUCGGACAACUUUACUAUGAAGAGCGUAAAACGGUUGUGGUUUUUUAUUAUGCACGAUUUAAAAAGGAGAAAAUAACUAGGAUGCAAGCUUGCGGUAUAAGAUUAACUGAAGCACAAUAUAUGCAGGCAAUACCACCCUGGGCGGCCCCUUACUCUGAUUGUUGGCUUCAAAUUGUGUGACAAAAAUGGUGCAAUAAUGAAUGGCACGAGAAAUCUAAUAGUUGCAGAGGACGAAGAUCCUUGAUGAGUGGGCUAGCACAUCGUCAGGGAAGUUGUGCCUUUCCUCGUUACAAAAGAAAAAUGGCGGAGAAAGAGAAGAGACCUGUGUCUGAUUUUGGCUGCAUAGGUAGCGUCUAGAAAUGGAUCUGAAAAUAGUGUAUUGUGCAAUGAUCGGGCACAAGAAAUCUUGGUAAUAAUAGACUUGCAUCAGUUAUUUUCUUUGUGUGGUUACAUUUCUCUUUUAUUGUGUCAUGGUGACAAUGUUUCUAAUAGAAAAAGUAUACUGAAGUUGCAAAGAAGAAGCAUGGUUCAGAUUUUGAUGUGAUGAAUGAACCACUUGAUCCGGAUGUUGUGUACAAGAUUGGCUGUGGCAAAAAACAUGGACGUCAUGUCCUUGCUAAUGGCUAUAUUGACUCACGGGGAAGUGCUUCUCAAAAUCGAUCAUCAAUGAGUUCUGAUCAUUUGAAGAUGUGCGUCCUCCAAGACGGAUAAGGACAUCAGUUGAUAGAAUUGGUAAACUUGAGAAGAACGUGCAAGAGAUACGCCAGAUGCUCAAUUCCCUAGUUCAGAAUCAGAACCAAAAUCUUGUGGCAAACAAUAGCACAACAGUAGGAGGUACUCAAGCGAGCACUCCAGGAACUGCAGCUUCAGUUGGAAACAACACUAUUGCCAAUUUGAAUAAUCCACAACAAGAGCAUCAGGAUGAGUGCAAUGAUGAUGCGGUGAUGUAAUAUGCAGGUUUAAUGCAAACACAUGUCUUAGUUUCUAUUUGUGACCUUGACGAACUGCAAAUCUGUUGGUAUGACAACAUAUGUGUGUGUUGGAUGUUUGCAAAUUACUUUCUAUGAAACUACUUGA